UGAGGGCGUAGCUCAGUUGGCAGAGCAACGGACUUUUAAUCCGUAGGUCCUGGGUUCGAGCCCCAGCGCCCUCAU
rnacentral:tRNA from 1 species